rnacentral:rRNA from 1 species
GCUGAAGCCAGUCGAAGAUACCAGCUGGCUGCAACUGUUUAUUAAAAACACAGCACUGUGCAAACACGAAAGUGGACGUAUACGGUGUGACGCCUGCCCGGUGCUGGAAGGUUAAUUGAUGGGGUUAGCCGUAAGGCGAAGCUCCUGAUCGAAGCCCCAGUAAACGGCGGCCGUAACUAUAACGGUCCUAAGGUAGCGAAAUUCCUUGUCGGGUAAGUUCCGACCUGCACGAAUGGCGUAAUGAUGGCCAGGCUGUCUCCACCCGAGACUCAGUGAAAUUGAACUCGCUGUGAAGAUGCAGUGUACCCGCGGCAAGACGGAAAGACCCCGUGAACCUUUACUAUAGCUUGACACUGAACAUUGAGCCUUGAUGUGUAGGAUAGGUGGGAGGCUUUGAAGUGUGGACGCCAGUCUGCAUGGAGCCAACCUUGAAAUACCACCCUUUAACGUUUGAUGUUCUAACCUAGGCCCAUAAACUGGGUCGGGGACCGUGUCUGGUGGGUAGUUUGACUGGGGCGGUCUCCUCCUAAAGAGUAACGGAGGAGCACGAAGGUUGGCUAAGCAUGGUCGGACAUCAUGCGGUUAGUGCAAAGGCAUAAGCCAGCUUGACUGCGAGAGUGACGGCUCGAGCAGGUACGAAAGUAGGUCUUAGUGAUCCGGUGGUUCUGAAUGGAAGGGCCAUCGCUCAACGGAUAAAAGGUACUCCGGGGAUAACAGGCUGAUACCGCCCAAGAGUUCAUAUCGACGGCGGUGUUUGGCACCUCGAUGUCGGCUCAUCACAUCCUGGGGCUGAAGUAGGUCCCAAGGGUAUGGCUGUUCGCCAUUUAAAGUGGUACGCGAGCUGGGUUUAGAACGUCGUGAGACAGUUCGGUCCCUAUCUGCCGUGGGCGUUGGAAGAUUGAGAGGGGUUGCUCCUAGUACGAGAGGACCGGAGUGAACGCACCACUGGUGUUCGGGUUGUCAUGCCAAUGGCAUUGCCCGGUAGCUAAGUGCGGAAGAGAUAACCGCUGAAAGCAUCUAAGCGGGAAACUUGCCUCGAGAUGAGUCUUCCCUGUCGCUUUAAGCGACCUAAAGGAACGUUUAAGACUAAGACGUUGAUAGGCUGGGUGUGUAAGCGUAGCGAUACGUUGAGCUAACCAGUACUAAUGAACCGUGAGGCUUAACCUGACAACACCGAA